rnacentral:rRNA from 1 species
CAGCAGCCGCGGGAAUACGUAGGGUGCAAGCGUUAAUCGGAAUUACUGGGUGUAAAGCGUGCGCAGGCGGUUGUGUAAGACAGGUGUGAAAUCCCCGGGCUUAACCUGGGAACUGCGCUUGUGACUGCACAGCUAGAGUAUGGCAGAGGGGGGUGGAAUUCCACGUGUAGCAGUGAAAUGCGUAGAGAUGUGGAGGAACACCGAUGGCGAAGGCAGCCCCCUGGGCCAAUACUGACGCUCAUGCACGAAAGCGUGGGGAGCAAACAGGAUUAGAUACCCCUGUAGUCCCUGUCUCUUAUAA